rnacentral:rRNA from 1 species
AUUGAACGCUGGCGGCAGGCCUAACACAUGCAAGUCGAACGGUAGCACAGAGAGCUUGCUCUCGGGUGACGAGUGGCGGACGGGUGAGUAACGUCUGGGAAACUGCCCGAUGGAGGGGGAUAACUACUGGAAACGGUAGCUAAUACCGCAUAACGCCGCAAGACCAAAGUGGGGGACCUUCGGGCCUGACACCAUCGGAAGUGCCCUGAUGGGAUUAGCUAGUAUGUGGGGUAAUGGCUCACCUAGGCGAAGAUCCCUAGCUGGUCUGAGAGGAUGACCAGCCACACUGGAACUGAGACACGGUCCAGACUCCUACGGGAGGCAGCAGUGGGGAAUAUUGCACAAUGGGCGCAAGCCUGAUGCAGCCAUGCCGCGCGUAUGAAGAAGGCCUUCGGGUUGUAAAGUACUUUCAGCGGGGAGGAAGGCGGUGAAGUUAAUAGCUUCACCGAUUGACGUUACCCGCAGAAGAAGCACCGGCUAACUCCGUGCCAGCAGCCGCGGUAA